ACUUGAAAUUAUUAAGAAAAAAUUUUUUUAUUGCUUAACUCUGAUCCCUACUAUGCGUGUGUGUGCUCUCUCUGUAGUAAAUUGUAGUUGUAUAUAAACCGAUAAACCAAACCAAGAAAAAUAUUUCAGCGGACACAACAACUUACGAUGGCAACGAACGACAACGAACACAACGUCGGUCGCAAGUGCACAAGCCAUUUUGUAUGUCCACGGACAGAAAUGUAUGUGAUUAACACCAAAGUAAGAUUUUUUCAGCAAAUCAGCGUUAAUGCGCACAGGGUUGUAAAUAUUCGUAGCUUGCUGAAUACGAAAAAGGAGUGAACAUGUCAUGCUUUCUAGCAACCCUGUAUCCUUGGACAAAACCGAGCACAAUGAUGCAUUUGUUUUAAUAUUAUAACUACAAAUACAUUUUUAGUAUAAAUUAUAUCGAAAUCAUUUUUGUACCCAAUUGAUGUAUUCUUGUAAAAACAAUAAGUAAUUUUUCAAUAAAGAUAUAUACCAAACAAAAACUUAAA